rnacentral:rRNA from 1 species
GCGUGAGUGAAGAAGGCCUUAGGGUUGUAAAGCUCUUUCGGCGGGGAAGAUGAUGACGGUACCCGCAGAAGAAGCCCCGGCUAACUCCGUGCCAGCAGCCGCGGUAAUACGGAGGGGGCUAGCGUUGUUCGGAAUUACUGGGCGUAAAGGGCGCGUAGGCGGUUCGGUAAGUUAGGCGUGAAAGGCCCGGGCUCAACCCGGGAACUGCGCUUAAGACUGCCGGGCUAUGAGUCCGGGAGAGGAUGGCGGAAUUCCCAGUGUAGAGGUGAAAUUCGU